CAAGUCGAGGGGUAACGGGGAAGCUUGCUUCCGCCGACGACCGGCGCACGGGUGCGUAACGCGUAUACAAUCUACCUUAUACUGGGGUAUAGCCUUUAGAAAUGAAGAUUAACCCCCCAUAGUCUCUUAGAGUGGCAUCACUUCUAGAGUAAAGGUUACGGUAUAAGAUGAGUAUGCGUUCUAUUAGUUUGUUGGUGUGGUAACGGCACACCAAGACUACGAUAGAUAGGGGCCCUGAGAGGGGGAUCCCCCACACUGGUACUGAGACACGGACCAGACUCCUACGGGAGGCAGCAGUGAGGAAUAUUGGACAAUGGAGGCAACUCUGAUCCAGCCAUGCCGCGUGCAGGAAGACUGCCCUAUGGGUUGUAAACUGCUUUUAUACAGGAAGAAACACCUCUACGUGUAGAGGCUUGACGGUACUGUAAGAAUAAGGAUCGGCUAACUCCGUGCCAGCAGCCGCGGUAAUACGGAGGAUCCAAGCGUUAUCCGGAAUCAUUGGGUUUAAAGGGUCCGUAGGUGGAUAAUUAAGUCAGAGGUGAAAUCUUGCAGCUCAACUGUAAAAUUGCCUUUGAAACUGGUUAUCUUGAGUUAUUAUGAAGUAGUUAGAAUAUGUAGUGUAGCGGU
rnacentral:rRNA from 1 species